UAGUCCUUAGGGAUAUUUCUCCGUUUCCUCUUUGUUAAUAAACUUCUUAACAUAUUAUUCUUCGAAUAAUUCUACUAUAAAGUAACUAAUAUGAAUUAUUUUAUCAUAUCAUGAUUGUUGGGAAUUAUGAAAUUAGCUAUUCAUAAUUGUAAAUAGAUAUACCUGUUCCGAUAGCUUUGAUGUUUCUGAGUUUUGUUGUUCCAUAGCUUUUUCCAUUGGAGUAUAUUUAUCUAAUUAACUAAGUAAUUUUUGUGGAAUUGAGAGAGAAAGGUUUGCUUCCAAAGAAGGC
rnacentral:lncRNA from 1 species